rnacentral:misc_RNA from 1 species
UAUAUAUUUUCAGGUUAAUAAAUGUUUUAAAAUAAGUCAAUCAGUUAAUGACGAACAAUAAAAAUGGGGACACAACAGUUUUGUCUGAAAUGGAACAAUCAUCAAGUGAAUAUGGUGACAGUUUUCGACCAGUUACUCUCUAGUGAAGCUUUAGUAGAUGUAACUUUAGCAUGUGAAGGUUUGAGCCUGAAAGCUCAUAAAAUAAUACUUUCUGCUUGUAGUCCAUUUUUUCAAAGUUUGUUUUUAGAAAAUCCUUGUAAACAUCCCAUUGUUAUUUUAAAAGAUAUGAAAUAUGCAGAACUGAAAGCUAUAGUGGAAUUUAUUUAUAGAGGUGAAGUUAAUGUUUCUCAUGAUCAGUUAUCUGCACUUCUUAAAACUGCAGAAAUGCUAAACAUUAGAGGAUUAGCAGAAGUUGCAAGUGACAGCAAGAACAAAGAUUUAGAAAAAGACUUACAAAAAGAAGUUGUGCAACAACAGCCAGUCAAUACAACAGUUUCUUCUGUUCCUGUGGACCAAGUACCUAGUAGGCCAACAUUAACUUCAGCAACUAAAAGAAAAAGAAAUAGGAUAAGAAGAAGAUCUUCGAGUGAUUCAAAUUCCAGUGAUGAAGAUGUGCCAUCUAAAAUUAAAGAACCAGAAUCUCCUGAAAUAAUUGAAGAAAUAUUACCUGAAUCAGUUAAUGACAGUCAUAAACAGCUAUCAGUGUCUACAAAUUCACAAUAUCCAGUUUCUUCAUGUCAGUCUCAAGACACAUUAUCACAACAAAAAACUCAAUCAUCAUCUGUUCUUUCACAACAUAAUACAUAUAUCAAUGUUGAUGAACCUUGUUUAGGUAAUGAUAGGAAUUAUGUUGAUUCUUCAAAUUUAUUGGAACAACUUAUGACAACUGAACCUAUGCCAGUUUUUAGAGAAAAUCAUUCACAAAGUUCUAACAGAACUCCAAUAUCUUCACAAAUAACUAUCCCAACUUGUGGAUUAACAGACAGUCAUUCAGUUCACAUAGGCCCAUCUUCAAAUGAAAGUCAGAUUUUAGCAUCAUGUUCCACACCAUCUGAAGCAUCUACAUCUAACUGUCUUUCACAAGAUAUACAAGAUGUGAAACCAGUUUCCAUGUUGACAUUUGAAGAACCAUCAAUAUCUCCUGCAGCCAGUAUAUCAAACAAAGAUAGCAGUAAUUCAAUGCCACUCUAUGUAGAUAACUCAGGAAUAUCUUCAUUACCUGGUCCAAGUAAUUAUCAGUUAGAUAAACAGUCAUCUCAAUUAACACAUCAACCACAGUCACAUGUAGAAAAAUCAUAAAUGGAUCGUAUUGAAAUUAGAUUUGCACACUAAAUUUUGAAAAAUAAUAGAUGAAAAUACAAUUUUACACCAUGUUUUAAAGUAUUUCAUAAUAAGAAACUCCUAAAUAGAUGGAAUAUAAUAAAGAAAUAGUAAGGAGGUGGAGAAAAAUCUCAAGAAAACAUUCUUGACAAAGAAAAAUCAAAAGGUAUUGAAUGCCCUGUUUGCAAAAAGCAAUUCAGUUACCAAAGUAACUUAGAAAUUCAUCUCAAUAGACAUUCUACAUCUAAAGAA